UGUUCUCAGGGCGGGGCGAAAUUCCCCACCGGCGGUAAGCAGGUUUAUCCUGUAAGCCCGCGAGCGGCCCCGUUGUUCGGGGUGACAAGCAGAUCUGGUGAGAUUCCAGAGCCGACGGUCAUAGUCCGGAUGAAAGAGAAC
rnacentral:ncRNA from 1 species